rnacentral:rRNA from 1 species
GACGAACGCUGGCGGCGUGCUUAACACAUGCAAGUCGUACGGUAAGGCCCUUUCGGGGGUACACGAGUGGCGAACGGGUGAGUAACACGUGAGUAACCUGCCCACAACUUUGGGAUAACGCUAGGAAACUGGUGCUAAUACUGGAUAUGUGCUCCUGCUGCAUGGUGGGGGUUGGAAAGCUCCGGCGGUUGUGGAUGGACUCGCGGCCUAUCAGCUUGUUGGUGGGGUAGUGGCCUACCAAGGCGGCGACGGGUAGCCGGCCUGAGAGGGUGACCGGCCACAUUGGGACUGAGAUACGGCCCAGACUCCUACGGGAGACAGCAGUGGGGAAUAUUGCACAAUGGGCGCAAGCCUGAUGCAGCAACGCCGCGUGCGGGAUGACGGCCUUCGGGUUGUAAACCGCUUUCAGCAGGGACGAAGCUUUUUGUGACGGUACCUGCAGAAGAAGCACCGGCUAACUACGU